AUUUCUUUAAUAUAAUCAAUAUCAAUGACUUCCAAUCAUUUUAUCUAGGUUAAAAUCCAAGAAGAAAUA
rnacentral:tRNA from 1 species